rnacentral:tRNA from 1 species
GAAGAGCUUCAACUAGAACUGCUAACUCUAACACCUGAGACUAUAAACCUCAGACUCUUCA